rnacentral:rRNA from 1 species
GACGAAGGGGGCUAGCGUUGUUCGGAAUUACUGGGCGUAAAGCGCACGUAGGCGGCUUUGUAAGUUAGAGGUGAAAGCCCGGGGCUCAACUCCGGAAUUGCCUUUAAGACUGCAUCGCUAGAAUUGUGGAGAGGUAAGUGGAAUUCCGAGUGUAGAGGUGAAAUUCGUAGAUAUUCGCAAGAACACCAGUGGCGAAGGCGGCUCACUGGCCCGAUACUGACGCUGAGGCACGAAAGCGUGGGGAGCAAACAGG